UCCUUUCUCAUUUGUUGUGUCUCCAUUUUGUUGAAACUGAUUUACCUGUUUAGUAACUGCAAUACUGAUAUGUUAUUUUUAUUUCUCCUGAAA